AUGUUUCCUCUUUUCCUGGUUUCUCAAGAGUGCUGCUGCUAACGCGGUCCCCGGCACGCACCAUCUGUUGCCAUCCCGGCCGGCCGAGGCCGUUACAGAUUUUGGAAGAUGGCAAAGUUCAUGACACCCGUGAUCCAGGACAACCCCUCAGGCUGGGGUCCCUGUGCUGUUCCCGAGCAGUUUCGGGAUAUGCCCUACCAGCCGUUCAGCAAAGGAGAUCGGCUAGGAAAGGUACAUGCCUGUCAGCAGGAGUCUGAAUCUUUGCAGCUGUGGCUGCUACUCUCGAGUCCCUGUUUUGAUUUUAUUGUCUCAAAAUCUUAACUCCUGAAUUUCUUAUAGGGAUGCCAGCUGAGAAAGGUUAUCUCUGGGUGUAGUCAUAGAAGAGCUGGGCACUUACAGAGGUGUUGUGAACAAAUUCUGAGACUCUUCCACGCUGUCCUCUCGCGCUCAGGGAUUUCUGGUUCUGCAGAAACUUGCCUGGUUGACCUGUGCAUUCUCUGUCUUUUCUUGUUCUUCGUAGGUUGCAGACUGGACAGGAGCCACAUACCAAGAUAAGAGGUACACAAAUAAGUACUCCUCUCAGUUUGGUGGUGGAAGUCAAUAU
rnacentral:sRNA from 1 species